UCGAGAUGAUGGAGAGCGCCUAGAGUAUAUAAUUCAUUGUCAGAGUGAUGCAGUACGCUCUCACGCCCGUCCUA
rnacentral:pre_miRNA from 1 species